UUUAAAAAUGGCAGUUUCCCCUGCGCUUUUUCUCUCUCCUGUGCCUUGUGAAGAAAGUGCCUGCUUCGCCUUCACCUUCGGCCAUGAUUGUAAGUUUCCUGAGGCCUUCUCCGCCUGCAGAGCUAAAUAGUUGCUCCAUAGAAAAUCCUCCACAGUACUGAAAUGAGGCUGCCUCACCAUUGGGGAUAGUGAAAAGGACAAUUUCCUUUGAACACACUCAUUUUCUGAUUGAAGAGAAUACAGAGAAUGUGGAUUUUCCUGGUGCCAAGUUGUUCUUCCAUUCCUCGGCCAAGUUUCCAUUCUGAUUAACUCAAGAUUCACUUGGAACCCUUUCCUUGCUAUGGCCAUUAAUCCUAAACUGCUUUAUCAGGAACUUGGCCCAAUCUGAGUUAGUUUCCUUCCUUGGAUACCUGCCUUAAACCAGAUCCUCAAACCUCAUAAAUAUCCCUCCUAGAAAAUAAGACUCUGUCAAGGGAGUAUUCUUUCUUAUUUCAGUAGGCAAUGAACUUGAUGCUGUUUUAUCAACAAGUUGAUUAAGUGAUGAUUAGGGUAUCAGUAAUCAACAUUGAUUUGAACCCUGGCUAGCUACAACACUUCCUAGCUGUGUGAUCUUGGGAAACAUUUCUGAGAUGGUUAAUACUGAGUGUCAACUUGAUUGGACUGAAGGAUGUAAAGUAUUGUUCCUGGGUGUGUCUGUAAGGGUGUUGCCAAAGGAGAUCAAUGGACUGGGAGAGGCAGACCCACCCUCAAUCUGGGUGGGCACCAUCUAACCAACUGCUAGCGUGGCUAGAAUAAAGCAGGCAGAAGGACGUGGAAGGACUUGACUUCCUGAAUCUUCUGGUCCUCAUCUUUUCCCCGUGCUGGAUGCUUGCUGCCCUCAAACAUCGGACUCCAAGUUCUUCAGCUUUGGGACUCUUGGACUUACAAGCUCUCUGGCCUUCGGCAACAGACUGAAGGCUGCACUUUCGGAUUCCCUACUUUUGAGAUUUUGGGACUCAGACUGGCUUCCUGGUUCCUCAGCUUGCAGACGGCCUAUUGUAGGACUUCACAAGUCUCACCUCAUAGCCUAUUCAUUACCGCUGAAAGUGAUUCAGAUUGUCAAGGCCCAUCUUCUAUACAGCGCUUCCCAAAGUGACGUCGGUAGACCAGUACCAGUAAGAAAACUGUUUCUAGUCUGAUAAGCUCCUGGAAACCACCAUUCUACUUCCUGACUCUAUGAUUUUGACUACUCUAGGCACCUCAUUUUACUGAUUAUCAAAGAAGGACUGUGACUAAACUAGAAGGAGAAUUAACACUAUCCAGAGAUGGCUACAGUUCUGAAGGGAAACUUUGAGUCUCCACCUUUCCAAGAGUGGGGGCACAGAUGUCGGAGCCAGACUGCCUGGACUCAAAUCUCAGAACCUGCAUUUAUUAGCUGUGUGACUUUGGAUAAUCCUCUCUCCACAACUUGAUAAUGCACAAACUGCAAAUCUUCUGGUACUCACUGCUGCAAGCAAACUUGAAGUCUUUCUGAGCCUGACUCUUCAUUCCUGCCUUGUGUGACCCAGGGAUGGAGGACUGCCCUCCCAACUCAUUAUCCUCUUUGCCCAGGAGCUAGAGAGGCCUCCAGCCCAGGCAGGAGUGCAGUGGUGUGAUCAUAACUCACUGCAGCCUUGAACUCCUGGGCUCAAGAAAUCCUCCCAUAUCAGCCUCCCGAGUAGCUGGGACUACAGGGACAAACCACCAUGCCUGGCUAACUUUUAAAUUUUUGAUAGAGAUGGGG
rnacentral:lncRNA from 10 species